rnacentral:rRNA from 1 species
UUUCAGUAGAUCACUUGCGGAGGAUCAUUGUCGAGACCUGCAGGCAGACCGCGUACACGUGUUUUAUCACAUCGGGUCGCGGCUUCGGGCUGUCGCCCCCACCCCCGUCGGUGUGGGCGUUCGCGCUCGUGCCGCUCGGGCUAACAAACUCGUGCGCGGAAUGCGCCAAGGAUAACUAAAAGGAUCGUCCGCCCCCGCUGCCCCGUUCGCGGAUUGUGUCGGGGGAUGGACGCCUGUCGUUAUACCAAGAACGACUCUCGGCAACGGAUAUCUCGGCUCUCGCAUCGAUGAAGAACGUAGCGAAAUGCGAUACUUGGUGUGAAUUGCAGAAUCCCGUGAACCAUCGAGUCUUUGAACGCAAGUUGCGCCCGAAGCCGUCAGGCCGAGGGCACGUCUGCCUGGGCGUCACGCAUCACGUCGCCCCCCAUCUAGUGCUCCGGCGCUCAUGUGGGGGCGGAGAAUGGCCUCCCGUAUGCCUCGGCGUGCGGCCGGUCCAAAUGCGUUCCCCCGGCGACGCACGUUGCGACCAGUGGUGGUUGAUCAUCAACUCGCGUGCUGUCGCGACUAAAGGCGUUGUCCGUGCGGGGUAACAAACACAAGACCCAAAGGGCGCAUUCAUUGCAUUGCGCCUCACGACUGCGACCUCCAGAUNCAGUGUC